UACGAAGGGUGCAAGCGUUACUCGGAAUUACUGGGCGUAAAGCGUGCGUAGGCGGUUUGUUAAGUCUGUUGUGAAAGCCCCGGGCUCAACCUGGGAAUGGCAAUGGAAACUGGCGAGCUAGAGUACGGUAGAGGAGAGUGGAAUUCCCGGUGUAGCAGUGAAGUGCGUAGAGAUCGGGAGGAACAUCAGUUGCGAAGGCGGCUCUCUGGACCAGUACUGACGCUGAGGCACGAAAGCGUGGGGAGCAAACAGG
rnacentral:rRNA from 1 species